AUCAUUUACUAAUCCUUCAAGUACUGUUUUAUCCGAAAAUCGCAACAAGCUAACGUUAAGAAAAAUGAAUCAGUACUCGAAUUUAUCUUGCAGAGAGACAUGCAUUACAUGCAUUUCUGUCUGUCUCUGAAUCUAGCUUAUAAAUUGUUGAGGCCUGAGGGUUUGGCUAGCUUACAUCUGUCUGUGAUCGAGAUCGAAAGGCAUUAAACUCGAAAACUAGACAGGUUCCAACCAUCUACACCCCAACCAGACCCGAGCCCACAACCUAACAAAAAAUUGCAGAAUUUAAGUAGCUGCAAACUCUCUUGAUUGGAUCCUGAGUCUCACAAGUGUUACGUGGCACCACAGAUUUCGCUUAAGUAAGCUGGUAGAAGAUGAUUAAUGUAAAUGCAGGGAAUUCAGAAAUACCCUGUUUGCUGUCUUUUUUAGCAGGAGUCUUAUCGCAAACUAUGUAGUACUUGUCUAUACUACUGUCUUUAGUGCUCAUCUAUAUAAGUGGACUUCCAAAAUGAAUGGAAAAUUAAACCCAAAGUUAGUUUCAGGAUAGAGACCUAAAAAAAGUGUGUUUUCACCUCUUUCUUAUGCUUCUCUGAGACUUCUCUCCCUCCCUCUCUCCCUCCCUCCCUACCUCUCUCUCUCNUUAUGCUUCUCUGAGACUUCUCUCCCUCCCUCUCUCCCUCCCUCCCUACCUCUCUCUCUCUCUCUCUCUCCCUCCCUCCCUACCUCUCUCUCUCUCUCUCUCUCUCUGUUAUAGGAUGGAGAGAGACCAUAGUGAUGAUGAUCACAAGUCCAGUCAUGGAAAAGAUGAUGCUCCUUUGUUUG
rnacentral:lncRNA from 1 species